AAUUAAAAGCAUAUAUGAUCAGACUCCAAGUGACUUCAUAGAGUUACACUCUUGUUUGCAAUUAGUUACAAGUAGUCUUCAAGUGGUAAACUGGUUGAACCCUAAAAAAUUAUGUGGAUGUUAGUUAUUUGGAAACUAGUAUUUUAAUCUUCCCUAGAAAUAGGGCUUUCUAUAGUUGUAACGAAGAUCUUCGGCCGGUCUAAAAGCCUAAUGAAUGAAGAUAUUGAAAUACAAUUCUUCACUACUGAACCUUACUCUCACGUGUAAUUGCAUCGAGGUUGAAUUUAGCUCAAAAUUCAACUCCAGGUUGUAGGCACACAUUUCCCCAGCUCCUCCUAAUUUCCUGAUCCUCAACACCCUCCACCACAUCCUGACCCUUCAUGUAUCAUGUAUGUCUUUUCUGUUCCUCAUACAGGGUUCAGAUGAUUGCAGGUCUGAGGCACGGGCUCCCUCCAAUAUGACGGUGGCUUGGCAUUCGGGACACCAGCUUCAGAUGGUGGCAGAGCUCUGGAGGCUGAGGAAAGGAGCCGAGUCCUUUCAGAAAACGUUAUCUGGUUAUAUUAUCCAAAAUCAAGACUUUUCACCUCAAAACUGGCUUGG